AACCUUAUGGACCUGCGGGCGUAUACCUGCGGAAGGAUCAUUAAAAAAGAAUCGCAAGAUUCUAUUUUUUUAAAAGCUUUACUACUACUUUUUGUAGGAGUAGAGCUUUUUCCACACUCUUUAAUAUUAAAAAUCGUCUUUUGACGAUAUCAAAUAAUAAAAAAACUUUCAACAAUGGAUCU
rnacentral:misc_RNA from 1 species